UACGAAGGGGGCUAGCGUUGUUCGGAUUUACUGGGCGUAAAGCGCACGUAGGCGGAUCGUUAAGUCGGGGGUGAAAUCCUGGAGCUCAACUCCAGAACUGCCUUCGAUACUGGCGAUCUAGAGUCCGGAAGAGGUGAGUGGAACUCCUAGUGUAGAGGUGGAAUUCGUAGAUAUUGGGAGGAACACCAGUGGCGAAGGCGGCUCACUGGACCGGAACUGACGCUGAGGCGCGAAAGCGUGGGGAGCAAACAGG
rnacentral:rRNA from 1 species